UACGGCCACACCGCCCUGAACGCACCCGAUCCCAUCUGACCUCGGAAGCUAAAGCAGGGUCGGGCCCGGUCAGUACUUGGAUGGGAGAAAGGACUAGGUAAGAGCUAUGU
rnacentral:rRNA from 1 species